GGAAGGUGGACGUCCUCAGAAAACCAUGACGACUCAAUGGCGGGAAGCUAUCCUUGGGAUCACAAUGGAUGGUGGACAGAACCGUCGUUGUUUAAUGUGAACACUGGUAUUAAAACUUGAUCAAUCUAUGCUAGGUCUCAUGCUUGUGAAAAGAUUUGCAAAAGCUUGCUUUACGCAAAAGAACCUGGAGCCCUUCCUUGAAAUACCCUCUAUCAUAUGCAUUGUUGUUGUGGUGGCUUGCUGAGUACGGUUGGUACUCACCCUUGCUAUUUAUAUAUCUUUUAGGAGAGUGUUGAAGAGAAGCCCUUGUCGAUACGCUUGCGUAUCCAACAAGAUGAUCGGAGUGCGGUCUUGUUCUAGGUCUCGUUCCCCAGUCGACUGCCUGUGGCAUGUUAACCGGGCCCUUAUAUUAUUUUGUCUUCCGCUGUUGUUCUCUGAUAGUUGUUGGCCUACCUGGCCCUAACAUAAACACAGAAGAUUUCCGAUUUCCAAAAUCGGGGGUCUACACGCCAACGAAGCCAUCCCCUCGGCUACUGCUGCCGCCGUGUCCCUAUGGCCAGAUCGGGGAGAGGGAGGGGAGGGGAGGGAGGGCGUCACCGGUCUCCAACCAUCGCGCCACUGGAUCCGUCCCCCGUCACCAUCACCGCCGCCGCCUUGAGGCUGGAGGAAGCCACUGUCGCCUAGAGGGGAGGAGAAGGCAAUCGCACCUAGAUCUGAGAGAGGGAGGGGAGGGAGGGCAGGGUCACCGCGGCCCUCCGACGGCUAGAUCCACCGCUCGCGCCCCUCCCGCUGCCGGAUCCGCCGCCUGCGGCCCUGCGACGGUCAGAUCCACCGUGCCUGCACCCGCACCCGUGCCCCUCCCGGCCGAGGAUCACGGCACCCCUCCUGGCCCCUCCUGGUAGCCGUCGUCACUAUCGCUAGUCCGCCGUGUUUUCCAACACUGAGGAAAGGCUGGAGAAGAAGAGGAGGAGAUGGAAUGGGAGAGGAGGGGAUAAGGAAUGGGAAGGGAUAAAAUUAGUGGAGAUUUUAAUAUAGAGAAUAUUUUUUCGUAGUCGGUGCUCGUUAGCUACCACCAGCAAAAAAAUAAUUUUUCGCUGGCGGUUGUUUAAGUGGGCCGCUAGCAAAAAUAGCUAUAUUUUCUCUGGAGGUCUACGUAACCCAACCGCCAGUGAAAAUUGAUUUUCGCUGGCGGUUUUUAGCCCCUUACCCCUCGUUACAAUUUCACAGGCGGGAUACACAAAAAACCGCCAGCGAAGAAAAUAUGGUACCGCCAUGAAAAAUCUAUUUUGCAGUAGUCUGCUGAUCUUGAAGACUGUCACGCCUCUGGAGAAGAAGAAACUGGUUGCUAGAAUCAUACCAAGAACAAAAAUAUUUUCACUGAAACAUUUGAGGUAAAUAAAAAAUUAAUGGCCUUUGAUUUUUUACUGCUCUUUCUUUAGCAGGGUGCGUGAGGUGUGUUUUGGUUGUGUGCACUUUGUUGUGCGGAGCCCAUGAGUGUUCUCAGAAUUUUGAGAUUAGUAAAGCUUCCAUUACUAAAAAUAAGAUAAAAUAAAUAAAUAAUUAGUGUCUCUCUGCGGCCUUUAACUCUCCUAUCCCUUGCACCCCUGGUGAAUAUACCUGGGUGAGUUUUGCAAUGUCAGAUAAUACAUGAACGAUCCAGAUUGAUGUAUAUCCCUACCCCUGAAUGCAUGCUGGUGUCCAGUGCAAAAGCUGCUCAUCUUUACUCCCCUGAAGCAGCAUGGGGAAAAUAUCCUUUACACCUAGGUACCAUGGUAGUAUGCAUGCGGUUUAAAUAGUUAUAUAAAAUUUCAUACAAUUUUGACGACAUUAUGAGAAUAUAAAACAGUAUGCAAAUAUGCAAGUCCAGGUAGCGUGAAACCAAAUGGCCCAGUACAGCACCUGCGGCAAGCCAUGUUCCUUGCUGCACAGGCUUCCUCCAGGGCUCCCCCAUCGACUCGGCAGAUCGAAUUCAACAGGGACUUUCUGAAGCUUGUCGAAUUCAAAUUGCAGCCACUGAAGGAUGCAACUGUUAGUGACUACCACACAUCCACCACGCAGUGCCGUUUUUGCCAGAUUUUGGCUCAAUGACUAGCUGAGGCACAACAACUUCCAUUUAAAGCAUUCAUACAUUUCCUGAUUCCUCCUAGGCCAAGCUGCUGUCUGCACUGAAGUGGCUUCUAGCUCCUUGAGAGUUGAGACGACAUUGUUCAUCUAGAUCUCUCUACCGUUAGCAUUAUAUUUCUUUGUGCUGCAUAGGUUGCUCAUGGAUAGAUGCGUAUGUAGACUAGGAGGAUAUAUUUAUAUAUGAUUUGAUGUUUGGCAUAAGGAAGAUGCGUUAGCCAUCUAUUCAACCAAGCCAUCUCAGUGAAGGAUCUAUAAUAUUUAUGGUGUGAUCUGUUUAACUGUUUUGCAAAGUCACAAAAAA